rnacentral:rRNA from 1 species
GGAUAACUUACCCUUUAGGACUGGGAUAACUCUGGGAAACUGGGGAUAAUACUGGAUAUUAGGCUAUGCCUGGAAUGGUUUGCCUUUGAAAUGUUUUUUUUCGCCUAAGGAUAGGUCUGCGGCUGAUUAGGUCGUUGGUGGGGUAAUGGCCCACCAAGCCGAUGAUCGGUACGGGUUGUGAGAGCAAGGGCCCGGAGAUGGAACCUGAGACAAGGUUCCAGACCCUACGGGGUGCAGCAGGCGCGAAACCUCCGCAAUGUACGAAAGUGCGACGGGGGGAUCCCAAGUGUUAUGCUUUUUUGUAUGACUUUUCAUUAGUGUAAAAAGCUUUUAGAAUAAGAGCUGGGCAAGACCGGUGCCAGCCGCCGCGGUAACACCGGCAGCUCGAGUGGUAGCUGUUUUUAUUGGGCCUAAAGCGUUCGUAGCCGGUUUGAUAAGUCUUUGGUGAAAGCUUGUAGCUUAACUAUAAGAAUUGCUGGAGAUACUAUUAGACUUGAAGUCGGGAGAGGUUAGAGGUACUACCGGGGUAGGGGUGAAAUCCUAUAAUCCUGGGAGGACCACCUGUGGCGAAGGCGUCUAACUGGAACGAUCUUGACGGUGAGUAACGAAAGCCAGGGGCGCGAACCGGAUUAGAUACCCGGGUAGUCCCGGCCGUAAACGAUGUGGACUUGGUGUUGGAAUGGCUUUGAGUUGUUCCGGUGCCGAAGGGAAGCUGUUAAGUCCACCGCCUGGGAAGUACGGUCGCAAGACUGAAACUU